rnacentral:snRNA from 1 species
AUAGUUAUCUGGCAGAGGAGAUACCAUGAUCACAAAGGUGGUUUUCUCAGGGUGAGGCUCAUCCAUUGCACUCCAGUGUGCCAAACCCCUGUGAUUUCCCCAAACGCGGGAAACUUGACUGCGUAAUUUGUGGUAGUGGGGAACUGUGUUCGUGCCUUCCCCUG